UAUCUGCCGUGGGCGUUGGAGAAUUGAAAGGGGCUGCUCCUAGUACGAGAGGACCGGAGUGGACGCAUCCCUGGUGUUCCAGUUGUUUCGCCAGAAGCAUUGCUGGGUAGCUACAUGCGGAAGAGAUAAGUGCUGAAAGCAUCUAAGCACGAAGCUUGCCUCAAGAUUAGAUCUCAUUAUAAGGGUGGUUAUAGACGAUGACCUUGAUAGGCUACAGGUGUAAAGGCGGUGACGUCAUAGCCGAGUAGUACUAAUUGCCCGAAAGUUUUUGCCUG
rnacentral:rRNA from 1 species